rnacentral:rRNA from 1 species
GACGAACGCUGGCGGCGUGCUUAACACAUGCAAGUCGAACGGUGAAGCGAGUGCUUGCACUCGUGGAUCAGUGGCGAACGGGUGAGUAACACGUGAGUAACCUGCCCAUCACUCUGGGAUAAGCACUGGAAACGGUGUCUAAUACUGGAUACGACCAACCCUUGCAUGGGGUGUUGGUGGAAAGAUUUAUCGGUGAUGGAUGGACUCGCGGCCUAUCAGCUUGUUGGCGGGGUAAUGGCCCACCAAGGCGACGACGGGUAGCCGGCCUGAGAGGGUGACCGACCACACUGGGACUGAGACACGGCCCAGACUCCUACGGGAGGCAGCAGUGGGGAAUAUUGCACAAUGGGCGAAAGCCUGAUGCAGCGACGCCGCGUGAGGGAUGACGGCCUUCGGGUUGUAAACCUCUUUCAGCAGGGAAGAAGCGAAAGUGACGGUACCUGCAGAAGAAGCACCGGCUAACUACGUG